rnacentral:rRNA from 1 species
AUUGAACGCUGGCGGCAGGCCUAACACAUGCAAGUCGAGCGGUUGAGGUAGCUUGCUACCGAUACAGCGGCGGACGGGUGAGUAAUGCUUAGGAAUCUGCCUAUUAGUGGGGGACAACAUCUCGAAAGGGAUGCUAAUACCGCAUACGUCCUACGGGAGAAAGCAGGGGAUCACUUGUGACCUUGCGCUAAUAGAUGAGCCUAAGUCGGGUUAGCUAGUUGGUGGGGUAAAGGCCUACCAAGGCGACGAUCUGUAGCGGGUCUGAGAGGAUGAUCCGCCACACUGGGACUGAGACACGGCCCAGACUCCUACGGGAGGCAGCAGUGGGGAAUAUUGGACAAUGGGGGGAACCCUGAUCCAGCCAUGCCGCGUGUGUGAAGAAGGCCUUAUGGUUGUAAAGCACUUUAAGCGAGGAGGAGGCUCUUUUGGUUAAUACCCAAGAUGAGUGGACGUUACUCGCAGAAUAAGCACCGGCUAACUCUGUGCCAGCAGCCGCCGUAA